CCCCAUUUUCAAGCAUUUUGACUUUCGUAACUCGAAAUAAAGAUUUUUAAUAAAUAUAAAAAUAAUAGUGCUGGAUGGGGGAUUUGUGUGAGUUGACUUGCAGUUCUAGUUUAUUCAGGUUACACACGUUUCUUAUUUGUAAAUGCAGUUUUUAUGUGAAGUGUAGAUAUCACAUGAAUGAAUACUAAUAUCGUAAUAUAUAUCAUAUUUUUGUUAUUGGUUAAUAAAGUUCAUUUUAUUGGAAUUUUGUUUCCAGUGUAUAGAAAUGAAGAAACCAAUGGGAGCCCCUGCCAAAAAGAGGAGUGUGUCUUCAGUUGAGAUUGGUAGAAAAAAAAAAAAAAAAAACAGUUUACCUACAUAAUUUUGCCAUUAAACCUUAAAAUGUGUAUUUCUGAACCCCUUUAUACUUUUUACUGGAAAAUCCCUUACAACAAUGCAUGCUGUUAUUGUUUUGUAAGUCUAGAAACAUGGCCCUAUUACAGAAGAUGCAUCUAUUUUUCAAGAGGAAUUAUAUGAUAUUGAAAUUAGACAGAUAUGCAAGUUACAUGUAAAAAGUAAAGUAACAAAAAUAUGGAACUCUGAGGAAAAUUAAAAAUGUAAUAGCGAAAUUAAAAGCUGAAAUACAUCAAGCAAAAAGAAAACAACUGUCAUAUUCCUGACUAAGUGCAGUCAUUUCUUAGAUUUAAUCUGGUUUUAUAGCUCGUUUUAGUAAACCAGUAUUUAAAAAUGAUAAGAUUGUAAGAAACAAAGCAAUUGACCCA
rnacentral:lncRNA from 1 species